rnacentral:rRNA from 1 species
GACGAACGCUGGCGGCGCGCUUAACACAUGCAAGUCGAACGGAAAGGCCCUGCUUGCAGGGUGCUCGAGUGGCGAACGGGUGAGUAACACGUGGGUGAUCUGCCCCUUACUUUGGGAUAAGCCUGGGAAACUGGGUCUAAUACUGGAUAGGACCAUGCUGUAGGUGGUGUGGUGGAAAGAUUAGUUUCGGUAAGGGAUGAGCUCGCGGCCUAUCAGCUUGUUGGUGGGGUAAUGGCCUACCAAGGCGUCGACGGGUAGCCGGCCUGGGAGGGUGGACGGCAAGAGUGGGAGGGAGAGGGGGCCGAGACCCUGAGGGGGGGAGGGGGGGGGGAAGUGGGCACAGGGGGCGCGGGCUGGAGGCGGCGACCCGGCGGGGGGGAGGCGGGCGGGGGGUGGGAAAACCCCUUGCAGCAAGGACGAAGCCUUUGUGGGGCGGUUGGUGGGAGAAGAAGCAGCGCCAACCUAGGG